rnacentral:piRNA from 1 species
UCAGCUGGAGACCUACAUAAAGACAUUGGA